GGUUGCGAUCAUACCAGCACUAAUGCACCGGAUCCCAUCAGAACUCCGCAGUUAAGCGUGCUUGGGCGAGAGUAGUACUAGGAGGGGUGACCCCCUGGGAAGUCCUCGUGUUGCAACCC
rnacentral:rRNA from 1 species